CCUACGGGAGGCAGCAGUGAGGAAUAUUGGUCAAUGGGCGAGAGCCUGAACCAGCCAAGUCGCGUGAGGGAGUACUGCCCUAUGGGUUGUAAACCUCUUUUGUCGGGGAGCAAAAGCCGGACGUGUCCGGCUGUGAGAGUACCCGAAGAAAAAGCAUCGGCUAACUCCGUGCCAGCAGCCGCGGUAAUACGGAGGAUGCGAGCGUUAUCCGGAUUUAUUGGGUUUAAGGGGUGCGCAGGCGGAUUUUUAAGUCAGCGGUAAAAUCGUGGGGCUCAACCCCAUCCAGCCGUGGAAACUGGGGAUCUAGAGUGUGCGAGAGGUAUGCGGAAUGCGUGGUGUAGCGGUGAAAUGCAUAGAUAUCACGCAGAACCCCGAUUGCGAAGGCAGCAUACCGGUGCACAACUGACGCUCAGGCACGAAAGCGUGGGUAUCGAACAGGAUUAGAUACCCUAGUAGUC
rnacentral:rRNA from 1 species